AGAUCUCCAAAACAAAGUUGUUGGCUUCACUGUCACCUGGUUUAAAUGGCAAACUAAACCCUCUUUCUAGAUUUGGAAGCUGGACGCUGCCUUCUAGCACUGAUAAAGGACUGAAGGAACAUAGCUUCCACUAUUCAGCAGCUGCGGAGGACGCUCGCAGACGCCUCUCACAAAAAACAGAGGCAAGUACCCUCUUCCCUCCUGGAAAAACGGACGUGUGGGUUCAGGCUUAGGCUCAGCAUUUACAAUGCUUACUCAUUAAGAAUGUCUCAUUUAAGCUAGUCAUUAUCUUUAGAUUGCUGUUUAGAAAUAAACUCAUUUUUAUGUCUACUAUUGCUUUGUUAUUUAGGUUGCCUUUACAGCUGGUUCAACUUCCUAUACUGAUCUUGGUUACUAAAGCCAAGCAAGACCUAGAGAAUCACCACAGGGGUAAAGCCCGUGCCAGUCAAUCUGUUAUGUGUGGAAGGCAAGUGAUGUUGCCAGUAAUUGCCCUUGCGACAGCAGCUACUGGUCUAUGACAUAGCAUUAACAGCUGGUGUACUUCUCACUGUUCUUUACUGAAAUCUGUGAGAAGAAUUUAGUACUUGGUCGCCUACCAGUGGUCCUAGGUUCAUAAAUGAAAAAGACAUACUGCUACACAAAGUUACUAUGGAGGCUUGGGGGGAGGGGGAGUAUUCUUUUAUUCUUAUAGAAAUGGACUUCUUGGAGGGCAGCAAACUGAAAACACUUAUGUUGCUACUAUCCAUUGAUAAAUACAACCUUUUAUCUGUCGGUGCCCUCCACAUCCUUAAUAUGCACUAAUAAAAGAAAUACAGAAAGCAAAACCAUACUAAGAGAUCAGAAUACUGAUGUAAAAAUAAGGCAAACAUUAUGUUCUUGUUCUAGGAAUGUGUUCAAAUCAGAUCUGGCUUUGGACUUUUAAUGCAGUAUAGAUUGAAGCUAAGAUCUAACAAUGGGAGUUAGAAUAUUUUAUUUUUUUUUAUGUUCUUGUAACUGAAGCUUUUUCAGGAGGUAGUACUUGUAAUCUAAUAAAUCAACAGGUUUUAUAUUUGCCUUGCAUUUGCACCUGAUAGUUCUGGAAAAAGUUAAAAGGUUUACAAGUUUCUAAUAAUUUACAGGUAUGAAAGGCUUUUUUUUUAAGUUGGGACAGCAAUUCUUACACUUUUAAAUUAAAAUAUAAUGGUAUAAACUGAACUUUUUCUAAACGUUCUAUUAUGGUUCUUUUUAUGUUUCUGACAUUAUAAGGGAUAACUUUGUUCUCGAUGCAUCUCAUGGAAGGGUGGUGAUUUCUAUUAUCCGUCCACAAUAUUUGUAUGUACUGUAAUAAAGGUAAUGUGCAUUUUUGUGGAACAGUCCUGUAAAGCCAAGAUCUUUCUUUUCAAUGUCUUUGAAAUAUUGUGCUAGUAACAGACAAUCUUUACUUUCAGAUGCAUGUUUCUAAGUUUGAUUCUCCUACAGGUGCUUCUUGUAAUGGUACUUCAGAUGUAUGAGACCUCCAAAUAAUAAAGCACGUGGUUUUGGGGUUUUGUUUUUU